GUCUGGAGGGGCUGUUCCCUUCUCCAGCUGGGCCACCGCCCCGACCCCUCAGUCUGGGAUGCUUGUGUUAAUACGAGGCAUACGAUGGGGACACAGCCUCAGUGGAACUUUCCGGUGUGUCUCCCUCAGGACGAGCCCCUUGGGGAGGAAAGCAGGAGCCCCCUUGCAUUUCAGCCCUGUCCGUGGUCCCUGCCGCACUCCCCUGCUCCACCACGGAGCAUUCCUGGCUGCUCUGGGGCGCUCUCUGGGGGCUCUGGGCCACGGUUGUCCUGCGGGUUCGGCUGGGUUUCUCUGGAAAGGAACGGGAUCCCGCGAGGGGAGAAGUGGAGACUAGGCCUGGCCCAUUUUACAGACGAGAGCAGUGAGGCUCAGAGCGCAGGGGCGGGUGGGGCUUGCAGCUCAGGCGCCAGGCCUCCAACACAGGCCUGUUGGUCUCCUAAGGCCAUCCGCCUUUCCGCCUUUGGGUGGAAGAACAGUGUCCCGGAGCUGCCCUGUCACCCCGCUGUCUGUGUGUUACUAUAGCAGCCACCUCGGCAACCAGGGAGGGGAAGUGGAAAAUAGGCCAGAGCAGUAAUGAGGCUGCAAGGUUCUGAUGUGUCUCCUGAUGGGAUCUGGCUUCACAAGCACCCCCACAUCAGAGGCAGCUGGAGUCUGGGGCCCUAGAUCAAAGGCCAGCCUCCUCGGAGCUCAGACACAGGGCCUGGCUCCGUCCUCGGAAGGCUUCCCCCUUGAUCCUCUCACAGUGAGUCACGCUGUCGCUACUGUUGCCUCUAACUGUUCCCUGAGGAUGUCACCUGCUGCCUGGACUGGCGGUGGGCAGAGGUCCCCGACACGGGUGUGUGUCCUCAACACCUCCCACCAGGCUGUGCAAGACCCCACCUUGGGCUCCUUGGGGCUUCCUGCCAAACGGCAGCUCCUAGGACAGGAGUCUUUUCAUAUUGGUGCACGCACGUCCAGGUACGCGAUUGCUCAUGGCCUUCCUGCCUCUACCCAUCUGCUGCGCCUUCCUGUAUGCAGCCGGGACUUUGGAAGUACCUGCCGCGUGCACCACAGGGCCCUGCGACGGCAGCACUGA
rnacentral:lncRNA from 12 species